rnacentral:rRNA from 1 species
UACGUAGGGUGCGAGCGUUAAUCGGAAUUACUGGGCGUAAAGGGUGCGCAGGCGGCGUCGCAAGUCAGGCGUGAAAUCCCUGGGCUCAACCCAGGAACUGCGUCCGAUACUGGUUGGCUUGAAUCCGGGAGAGGGAUGUGGAAUUCCAGGUGUAGCGGUGAAAUGCGUAGAUAUCUGGAGGAACACCGGUGGCGAAGGCGACAUCCUGGACCGGUAUUGACGCUGAGGCGCGAAAGCCAGGGGAGCAAACGGG